rnacentral:piRNA from 1 species
UGAGAUCUCUGUGGAUAUUCAGACUUAGA